rfam:Aspergillus terreus NIH2624 scaffold_3 genomic scaffold, whole genome shotgun sequence.
GACAACGUGGUGGAGUGGUUAACACGCAGCCCUGCUAUUUGUGUAAGGCUGUCUCUUAGGAGGCGUAGGUUCGAAUCCUGCCGUUGUCG